rnacentral:lncRNA from 1 species
CAUGUAGACGACCACCACCAGCACAGCAAGGCCAAGUGAAAUGUGCUGCAUGUAUUAGUCUCCUAGCAUUUUUUUUUCUUUCUCCCCAGCUCUUUUCCUGCAGCCUGCCGAUUUUUGUAAAUGGUUUGACCACAAGGGAAAAAAUGGCGCGUGAUCUGCAGGGUCAUCCUGUAUCUUGAGAAUGCCUGCACAGCUUGUGAGUCUAAUGAGCAGAGCUGUGACUGAACAAACAGACCCCGGAUCUGAAGAAUAAUAGAUCACAAAGCAGCUGUUAAUCAGGAGUAACUGUCUCUGAUAUGGGAUGUCUUUAGCUUGAAGGCAAGGUAAAAAUUGCAAUGAUAGCUGUUGCAAAGCAUGGUGGAUGUUCUCAUGAAGCAUCAUGUUACCAAGAAGUACAGGGAACUCACAUGUUCACCCAGGAGCCUGGAAUACGCCGUACCCCGUCGAACAUUUUCGCUGCCUGCGGACUGCGGCAUGCCGGCACCGGACUUGUUGCUUAUUGUGCCUGCCGUUUCGGAACUCGGGAACAAUAGUGCUUCCAAUCGUUCCAGCUUUCAGAUACACUGUUCCCUGCAGCUUUGCUCGGAGUUCACACCUGUUCCGAGUCCCAAGUGCUUCAGAACAUGCAGAAUUCAACAGAAACCAAGUGGUACCAACAGAGACAUUUGCAUCUUCUUAUGCUCACACUGUAACGUUCUAGGUGAAGAGAAACCAAGAUUUGUAUCGAGUUUAGAACUCAGAUGAACUACUACGUACGCGUGAAGCAAAAAAGUCCAUGAUCACAUGCAUGAGUACGUGACGGCAAUUAAGCACCAAAAACGGACAGGCGAGACAGGGUCUGAGGCAGGCUGGGUUCAGCUCUGCAGCGAGAUGCAUUCUUUAACAAGAAUCCUAAGCCGCGCGUGUUGACGCGAAGGUGAUGGUGCUCUCGAGUCUGAUCCAGCAGAAUAAGUGGCGCCCCUCAUGCGACGUGACCCCGCCGACGCCGCUACGUGGAGGCGUCAACGAGCGCUGGGCUGGGCAUCGGCUGCGGGCUGGCUCAAGGUGUCAGUGUUUGUUUCCUCUGUAACUUUUUAGCUGCUAGUAAUUUUUAGGGUCAGCCAAGUUAGAGUGAAUGCCACCACACAGUCACUCUAUCCACAAAAUCCAUUAGAGGCACCCCCUCUGAAGUCUGAACACAUGAAAACACGACUUAGAUGAUCUCAACAGGGAAGAAUGCAUGUUGUUUUGUUCCUGUACUACAUGUCAAUGCAUCUUCCGAGGAACCGAAUAAAUCUUUUUGUUUUUUUGAGUGGAAAAUCUUUUUGUUUUUAAUAACCAAGCCUAAAGUUUUCCUUUGUUUUCUUUUUUGCUAUUUUUUUUGGGUGGGGUCCUUCUUUGUGUUAUGUGGGGCCUUCAGUAAUCCUAAUAUCCUUACUAAUGUACAUGCGGGCCAUGUUAGGAUUUAGAUUAAGUCAGUGCACAGUGGGGUCAAAUGGUCUAGCAGAGACACUCAAAGCUCAUCAUAUAAACCACACCAAACCAAACCAAUGCUAGAGCUUGGUAAAUAGGCAAGCAUAAUGAGGUAGCCGUGCUGGUGCAAAUGGUAGCAGCUCCAUCUUCCAGGCAGUAACCACCACUAACCACCACCACACCACCACUUCUCACUCUCUCGGUAGGCAGCGCCUGCACCAGGGCAGAAUAGAAAAAUCAGCACAUCACUCACCUUUACCACAAAGUUAAUUAUGCUUCUCGCAUGCUGCAUCUGCAGCCAGACAGCAGAUUACGGGCAGCAGAAACCAGGAAUAAUCACACACCAGGUGGCACGAGUUCAGCAUCACCAUUCAGGCAUUCACCCUUGCUUAUUGCAGUUCAGAGCCUGGGCGGCACUGCUCGCCCACGCUGUUGCCUUGUCUCCUCCGCAGCUGCUUUGGAUUCCAUAACCUGCGUAGGUAGGUGCAUAGGCCACACGUGUAACUUUUGCUGCGUGAAUCGAUCUGCCAUAACCUGCAUUUGUAUAUAUGCAAGUAGCUGAGAAUCUCUGCAUGCACCCGACCCAUGGAUGGAUGGAGCCACGCCGGGCAGCAACAACUUGCAGCUCAAAGCGUCCGAUCUCAUCGAUCUCACCCUUCCUUGUUCCUGCACAGAAAAGAUAGUCUAAUCCAUCGCCUUUGCAAAGCAGCAUCCAUCACGGAAAAGAGGCGUGGUUACCGAUCGUGCCUACGAAAGGCCUCUUUGUUUGUUUGGUUCUUCGCACGGCCUGUUGGUUGAGCACUUACCCGUUUGGCCCUCUCCGCUAGCAUUGUUUACCGUGGAUGUCAGGGAUUAUUUAGGGAUCUAGGAUCUUUCAUCACAUGUUGACUACAGUAGUCUCAGUAGUUUUUCCUAACAUCUGCAGCUUUGUAUAUUUCUUAGGGGUUUGAAUAUGCAUAUAUGGACAACUUAGUCCUGCAGUGCUUGUCUAGGAAUCCUAUUCUGCGCUCUAAAAAUGCUAUAAAACUCACGGGCACGUCCAGAACUGUUUGCUUCUGGCUCUUUUGUUGUCCUCCACUUUGUAUUGACCUGCUAAUUUUUUUUUUCCAAUCAGCUAUAUUGUUCUUGUAGUCUUUCAAGGUUACAUAUAUAAUGUCAGGCAUAGAAGUGGCUGUCAACAUUUAUUUAUUUAAUAUCAAUGGAGAUCUUCUGCCUUUAUAAUACUGUUGGGUGGAGGACAUUUUUCUUGAGUCCGAAAUACCGAAAUCGAUACAUACCAUCCUAACUACCCAAAAUAAAUUGGUAUGCCCCUAGAAACGCAAACAGGUGAAUGAAAUGCUUCCCUAAUGGCAUCCAAAAUAAGUACGCGAGCUACGGUAUUAAUUUGCCGCAUCAAUUCAAUAGAAAAUGACUGCUUACUUGACAUGAAUGAUUAGAUGGCCAUAAUUGCCAGGACCCAUGCAUCUGCUGCGUGACUGACUGCUCCAAUGCUGUGUAAUGGACUUCGAUUCAGUUGAGACACUGGAAGCUUUUUCAGAUCAAGUGCUGCUCGCCUGCAAGAACCAUCAGUCGCAUGCAGAUCGCACGAGCAGUGCGUGCUUAAUAUGCUGAAAUCUAACCUACACAAAUUCAGGUUGAUUUGAUAAAAAGUAGUAUUGCGUGUUGUGGUGCAGCAUCAACUACAAGAAACAUUUCUUAGACUUAUGUAGAACAAGAAAAGCAAGUACCAUUGGUUAAGUGGUAUAAUAAAAAACAUUAAAAUGACAUGACCCAUUUAUAAUCUUAUAAUAAAUAUAUGUCUUUGGCAAAAUUUAGAUAUGGCCUACUUUAUGUACUAUUACUGCAAUAACUUGCGAGAUGAAUAUGCAUAUCUUAGCUCAAUGAUUUUCGUUGACCCAUAAGCAGAAUUCUUACUUCCACACUUGUUCAACUGAAAGAACUUCAGGUGGUAUUAGGAACUAUAUAGACCAAGACCUUUAAACAAAUAGUAGCCUCUCAAAAAUAUGGAAGACUGGCUAGGUUCUCCACUUACCUUUUUUAGAGCCUAAUGCAGAUUGAAGGCCUGCAGACUUGCACGGGAAAUUCCCCUAGCCCAUAUACUUUAAAUCCUUCAACAAGAAGUCAAGAGAAAGGUGCUACACUACACUACACAUAGGUUGCAUCAUUCCAUGGGAACAAAACAUACAAAGCUGUCUUUUACACUUAAUCAUAUUACACAAAGAUGAACAAGAAUUAUUGAAAGACAGAAUCAAUUUGAAACCACCAUAAUAUGUUUUUGUCAUUCCUAAAAUAAGAACAAUGUCAGAAAAGCAUCACAAGUAGUCAUAAAAUUAGUACGCUUCCAUUAAUAUAAUGCAUAUUUUACAAUGAAGCAAAUAUAGAAGAACAAAUCAUCACACUGCCAAAAUGAAUUGAACACCAAUAAGUUUUAGAAUUACAAUAAGAAUAAAAACAAUCAUGAAGUUUGGUCGUGGAACUCUUUCUCCCUGAAAAGUGCAUUUUUGCACAUCUAUUCAUUAGGUUACUCGUUAGCAUCAGAUAUUAUUGCUAUAGUAGAAGAAAUUGUAAGUUCAUAAGUAAGCUCUAAGGAAUACCCACAUCUGGCUGUUGAAAGAUAGAUUAUUGUGAUCCACUAGGACAGGGACCUAACAAAGUAGAAAACAAUAUCAUUUUCCUUAUGUUGACAAACAAUUGUUACAUCAUUAUACCACAUAUGAAGGA